AGCAGCCGCGGUAAAUUCCAGCUCCAAUAGCGUAUAUUAAAGUUGUUGCAGUUAAAAAGCUCGUAGUUGAAUUUCGGAAUUUUUUUAUCGGUUGAAUCAACAGGUUCGUACUGAUUUUAAGAAUUUCUACCUUCUGGAGAACCUUAAUGUCAUUAAUUUGGUGUUUUGGGAAACCAGGACUGUUACCUUGAAAAAAUUAGAGUGUUUAAAGCAGGCUUAUGUCUGAAUAUAUUAGCAUGGAAUAAUGAAAUAGGACGGCAUGGUUCUAUUUUGUUGGUUUCUAGGAUCACCGUAAUGAUUAAUAGGGAUAGUUGGGGGCAUUAGUAUUCAAUUGUCAGAGGUGAAAUUCUUGGAUUUAUUGAAGACUAACUUCUGCGAAAGCAUUUGCCAAGGAUGUUUU
rnacentral:rRNA from 1 species